GUCGAUCUUUGGAUAAGCCGUUAAAUCAUGAUCGUCCAUAUCACUAACCGCCUUGUAGAAAUCAAUAUAUAAGGCCUGCGUUUUCAAUUAUUCUUCUGUCAUCUAAAAGUUCGCUUCGCUCUGUUUCUUCAGAGCUAUUCGAUCUUCAUAGUUCGUUCUUCCAAGAGCACGGCUUCGUCCUUCUCCAGAAAUCUUCAUCACCCUGUGGCUUGAUUCUUCUACGUUCUUUAUUAUUGAGAAUAAUAUAUGGGAAAAUCGUUCGCUAAGGGAUUAUGUCUCUGAGAUUGACGUCAUGUUUCAUGGUCGAAGUGAUCAAGACUCUUCUUUUUUUACCGAGACUUCACAGAAUGUUCUUUCUUUGCGCUUCAUACGUGCAAGGUUUUAGCUGCCUGGGGAGUCUCCAUGGAGGCAGUGGUUGAUGGGUAUUCUUCAAAUCAGUGGUGGCAGAUAACCUGGUUGUGUAAUCUAUUGUAACCAGGACCGAAAUGGGAUAUAACUGUGAUGAUAGAUGAGUGAAAUGUACUGGGAUAAAGAAGCCCUUAUGCAGGGGGUUUGAGUCCUGGUUUUGUCAUCCGACCUUUGCCAUGACAGGUGCGCUUGCAUGGCAGGUCACACAAAUCUUAAUAAAAUUUCUCUUUUGGUGGUUUUGAGGGGAGUUCGCACGGGAUAGUCCGGGUUCUCCCCUCUGUGUGUGGUGUGUCUGCUCUCCUUUUCAUUGCCUCUAUCUCUUUUCAUUAAAUCUGCUACGAUCGUCCUAAUUCACCCCUGUGCAUGUGCUUGGAUUCAUGAACUUGUUACAAUCUACCCCCAUGCACCAUAUCGGUUGGAUUCAUAAACCUGAUACUAUUUCCGGAUGCACUUGAGUGUUGGAUUCAUAAGCAUCUCAGCUGGAUAAGGCCUUAAACCCAUUCUACAAUCAGAUCCUGUUGCACUAACGCAUUCUGCACUUCUACUCGAAAGAUCGGGAGGUACCUGAAUAUGGUGGUUAGCAAACCUUCAAUUCUGAUGGGUUCCAGAGGCUCAAGCAACUCCCCUCAGUUGGUCCCAGGUUUGGCUCCUCUCUAGAUCAAGUUUACGAUCAAACCAGCACUCAGCAGCCUACAGCAAACUACAGCAGCAACUCACAAACAAACAGAAGGGAAAAUGAGUAAAACAGCAGCAAUUGGUUCACCCUUGAUACUCUUAAGAACUUCACAAUUCAUGAACACAAGGAAUAUAGACGCAGAAAAAGAAAACAACAUAGCAUUGCAUUCAAAGAACUUUAGAAAUAAUAGUCAUUACAGUAGCCAUCAGCGUAUGUAAUUGUAACUGAAAAUGGAAACAACUGAAGUAAAAGGAAAAAUAGCUAAGCUGGGUUUCAAGAGCCAGCCCUCACCAAGUGUAAUAUAAAAUAUUGAUUCAAUAAAAUGAUUUCUUUCUUCUUUA